rnacentral:rRNA from 1 species
UUGUUGGGUAGGGGAGCGUUCUGUAAGCCUGCGAAGGUGGCCUGUGAGGGUUGCUGGAGGUAUCAGAAGUGCGAAUGCUGACAUAAGUAACGAUAAAGCGGGUGAAAAGCCCGCUCGCCGGAAGACCAAGGGUUCCUGUCCAACGUUAAUCGGGGCAGGGUGAGUCGACCCCUAAGGCGAGGCCGAAAGGCGUAGUCGAUGGGAAACGGGUUAAUAUUCCCGUACUUGGUGUUACUGCGAAGGGGGGACGGAGAAGGCUAUGUUGGCCGGGCGACGGUUGUCCCGGUUUAAGCGUGUAGGUGUGUGUUCCAGGUAAAUCCGGUUCACUUUAACACUGAGGCGUGAUGACGAGGCACUACGGUGCUGAAGCAACAAAUGCCCUGCUUCCAGGAAAAGCCUCUAAGCAUCAGGUAACAUCAAAUCGUACCCCAAACCGACACAGGUGGUCAGGUAGAGAAUACCAAGGCGCUUGAGAGAACUCGGGUGAAGGAACUAGGCAAAAUGGUGCCGUAACUUCGGGAGAAGGCACGCUGACACGUAGGUGAAGUGAUUUACUCAUGGAGCUGAAGUCAGUCGAAGAUACCAGCUGGCUGCAACUGUUUAUUAAAAACACAGCACUGUGCAAACACGAAAGUGGACGUAUACGGUGUGACGCCUGCCCGGUGCCGGAAGGUUAAUUGAUGGGGUCAGCGCAAGCGAAGCUCCUGAUCGAAGCCCCGGUAAACGGCGGCCGUAACUAUAACGGUCCUAAGGUAGCGAAAUUCCUUGUCGGGUAAGUUCCGACCUGCACGAAUGGCGUAAUGAUGGCCAGGCUGUCUCCACCCGAGACUCAGUGAAAUUGAACUCGCUGUGAAGAUGCAGUGUACCCGCGGCAAGACGGAAAGACCCCGUGAACCUUUACUAUAGCUUGACACUGAACAUUGAGCCUUGAUGUGUAGGAUAGGUGGGAGGCUUUGAAGUGUGGACGCCAGUCUGCAUGGAGCCGGCCUUGAAAUACCACCCUUUAAUGUUUGAUGUUCUAACGUGGACCCGUGAUCCGGGUUGCGGACAGUGUCUGGUGGGUAGUUUGACUGGGGCGGUCUCCUCCUAAAGAGUAACGGAGGAGCACGAAGGUUGGCUAAUCCUGGUCGGACAUCAGGAGGUUAGUGCAAUGGCAUAAGCCAGCUUGACUGCGAGCGUGACGGCGCGAGCAGGUGCGAAAGCAGGUCAUAGUGAUCCGGUGGUUCUGAAUGGAAGGGCCAUCGCUCAACGGAUAAAAGGUACUCCGGGGAUAACAGGCUGAUACCGCCCAAGAGUUCAUAUCGACGGCGGUGUUUGGCACCUCGAUGUCGGCUCAUCACAUCCUGGGGCUGAAGUAGGUCCCAAGGGUAUGGCUGUUCGCCAUUUAAAGUGGUACGCGAGCUGGGUUUAGAACGUCGUGAGACAGUUCGGUCCCUAUCUGCCGUGGGCGCUGGAGAACUGAGGGGGGCUGCUCCUAGUACGAGAGGACCGGAGUGGACGCAUCACUGGUGUUCGGGUUGUCAUGCCAAUGGCACUGCCCGGUAGCUAAAUGCGGAAGAGAUAAGUGCUGAAAGCAUCUAAGCACGAAACUUGCCCCGAGAUGAGUUCUCCCUGAGACUUUAGGUCUCCUGAAGGAACGUUGAAGACGACGACGUUGAUAGGCCGGGUGUGUAAGCGCAGCGAUGCGUUGAGCUAACCGGUACUAAUGAACCGUGAGGCUUAACCUUACA